rnacentral:rRNA from 1 species
UUCCGGUUGAUCCUGCCGGAGGUCACUGCUAUUGGGAUUCGGCUAAGCCAUGCAAGCGGAGGGCGCGGUCGAAAGAUCGUGGCCCCACACACUGCUCAGUAACACGUAGUCAACCUACCCUUGGGACGGGGACAACCUCGGGAAACUGAGGCUAAUCCCCGAUAGGUGAGGGACGCUGGAAUGCCUCCUCGCCCAAAGCUCCGGCGCCCAAGGAUGGGACUGCGGUCUAUCAGGCUGUUGGUGGUGUAACGGACCACCAAACCUACGACGGGUACGGGCGAUGGGAGUCGGAGCCCGGAGAUGGGGACUGAGACAAGGCCCCAGGCCCUACGGGGCGCAGCAGGCGCGAAAACUCCGCAAUGCGCGCAAGCGUGACGGGGGAAUCCCAAGUGCCGUUGGUCUUAUGAUCGACGGUUUUUAGGAAGUCUAAGGAGCUUCCAGAAUAAGGGCUGGGCAAGACUGGUGCCAGCCGCCGCGGUAACACCAGCAGCCCAAGUGGUGACCACGAUUAUUGGGCCUAAAGCGCUCGUAGCCGGAUCAGCAAGUCCCUUGUGAAAUCGGGCCGCCUAACGGUUCGGCGUGCAAGGGAUACUGUUGGUCUUGAGGCCGGGAAAGGUCGGAGGUACUCCUGGGGUAGCGGUGAAAUGCUCUAAUCCUAGGGGGACCACCAGUGGCGAAGGCGUCCGACCAGAACGGACCUGACGGUGAGGGGCGAAGGCUAUGGGAGCGAACGGGAUUAGAUACCCCGGUAGUCCUAGCUGUAAAGCAUGCGGGCCAUGUGUCUAGCGCUCCUUGAGGGCGCUAGGUGCCGGAGGGAAGCCGAUUAAGCCCGUCCGCCUGGGAAGUACGGGCGCAAGGGCUGAAACAUCAAAGACAAUCGGCGGGGGGAGCAUUACAGAGGUCGCGAUCCUGCGGGUUCAAUCUGGACUCAUCGACGGU